rnacentral:rRNA from 1 species
GAUGAACGCUGGCGGCGUGCUUAACACAUGCAAGUCGAACGGUGAAGCAGGAGCUUGCUCCUGUGGAUCAGUGGCGAACGGGUGAGUAACACGUGAGCAAUCUGCCCUGGACUCUGGGAUAAGCGUUGGAAACGACGUCUAAUACCGGAUACGAGGCGUGGGGGCAUCCCCAACGCCUGGAAAGAACUUCGGUCCAGGAUGAGCUCGCGGCCUAUCAGGUAGUUGGUGAGGUAACGGCUCACCAAGCCUACGACGGGUAGCCGGCCUGGGAGGGUGACCGGCCACACUGGGACUGAGACACGGCCCAGACUCCUACGGGAGGCAGCAGUGGGGAAUAUUGCACAAUGGGCGCAAGCCUGAUGCAGCAACGCCGCGUGAGGGACGACGGCCUUCGGGUUGUAAACCUCUUUUAGCAGGGAAGAAGCGAAAGUGACGGUACCUGCAGAAAAAGCACUGGCUAACUACGUGCCAGCAGCCGCGGUAACAC